rnacentral:rRNA from 1 species
UCCAGAGAACUUGGCAGAGAUGCCUUGGUGCCUUCGGGACCUCUGAGACAGGUGCUGCAUGGCUGUCGUCAGCUCGUGUUGUGAAAUGUUGGGUUAAGUCCCGNAACGAGCGCAACCCCUAUCCUUUGUUGCCAGCGAUUCGGUCGGGAACUCAAAGGAGACUGCCGGUGAUAAACCGGAGGAAGGUGGGGAUGACGUCAAGUCAUCAUGGCCCUUACGAGUAGGGCUACACACGUGCUACAAUGGCGCAUACAAAGAGAAGCGACCUCGCGAGAGCAAGCGGACCUCAUAAAGUGCGUCGUAGUCCGGAUCGGAGUCUGCAACUCGACUCCGUGAAGUCGGAAUCGCUAGUAAUCGUAGAUCAGAAUGCUACGGUGAAUACGUUCCCGGGCCUUGUACACACCGCCCGUCACACCAUGGGAGUGGGUUGCAAAAGAAGUAGAUAGCUUAACCUUCGGGAGGGCGUUUACCACUUUGUGAUUCAUGACUGGGGUGAAGUCGUAACAAGGUAAGCGUAGCGAG